rnacentral:SRP_RNA from 1 species
AUUGACAGUGCUAUGCUACAGGUGUAUAAUAGCGGUGUUCCGUGAAGGACAUAGCGAGUAGGACAAGGCCGAUGUUCUUCCAGUCCUGUCGGUCGGCGUAAUUGGGUCCUGCGCGGCAGAUGUUUGCGAACCCCGCCAGGUCCGAGAGGAAGCACCGGUAAGCAGACCUCUCUGGGUGACGCAGGGGAGCCUGAUUACGCUGACCGGCAGGACUGGGCGAACAUCGGUUUUUGUCUGU